rnacentral:rRNA from 1 species
UACAGAGGUCCCAAGCGUUACUGAGAAUCACUGGGUUUAAAGGGUGCGUAGGUGGUCCGUUAAGUUUGUUGUGAAAUCCCCGGGCUCAACCCGGGAAUUGCUUCGAAUACUGGCGGACUUGAGGCCUGUAGGGGUCACUGGAACAGACGGUGGAGCGGUGAAAUGCGUUGAUAUCAGAAGGAACGCCGGUGGCGAAAGCGACGGACUGGAUCUCUUCUGACGCUGAGGCGCGAAAGCCAGGGGAGCAAACGGG